UGGGAUAUAGCUCAGUAGGUGGAGUACAUGAUCAGUAUGCAUGAGCCCUGGGUUUGAUUCCCAGUACCAA
rnacentral:tRNA from 1 species